AUGGUGAAACAUACGUAGGAAACAAAUGAUAUUAAUUUGUGUUUAUCAUAAUAAAUAUAUAUAUAUGUGUGUGUGUUUGUGUGUGUGUGUGUGUGUGUGUGUU